UACGAAGGGGGCUAGCGUUGUUCGGAAUUACUGGGCGUAAAGCGCACGUAGGCGGAUUGUUAAGUUAGGGGUGAAAUCCCAGGGCUCAACCCUGGAACUGCCUUUAAUACUGGCAAUCUCGAGUCCGAGAGAGGUGAGUGGAAUUCCGAGUGUAGAGGUGAAAAUUCGUAGAUAUUCGGAGGAACACCAGUGGCGGAAGGCGGCUCACUGGCUCGGUACUGACGCUGAGGUGCGAAAGCGUGGGGAGCAAACAGGG
rnacentral:rRNA from 1 species